UACGUAGGGGGCUAGCGUUGCUCGGAUUGACUGGGCGUAAAGGGCGCGUAGGCGGUUCGUACAGUCAGACGUGAAAUUCCUGGGCUCAACCUGGGGGCUGCGUUUGAUACGUGCGGACUUGAGUGCGGAAGAGGGUCGUGGAAUUCCCAGCGUAGAGGUGAAAUUCGUAGAUAUUGGGAAGAACACCGGUGGCGAAGGCGGCGACCUGGUCCGAUACUGACGCUGAGGCGCGAAAGCGUGGGGAGCAAACAGG
rnacentral:rRNA from 1 species